rnacentral:rRNA from 1 species
UACGUAGGGUGCGAGCGUUGUCCGGAAUUAUUGGGCGUAAAGAGCUUGUAGGCGGUUUGUCGCGUCUGCUGUGAAAAUCCGGGGCUCAACCCCGGACUUGCAGUGGGUACGGGCAGACUAGAGUGUGGUAGGGGAGACUGGAAUUCCUGGUGUAGCGGUGAAAUGCGCAGAUAUCAGGAGGAACACCGGUGGCGAAGGCGGGUCUCUGGGCCGAUACUGACACUGGAGAAGCGAAAGCGUGGGGAGCGAACAGG